ensembl:lncRNA
GGAAAAAAGCCAUUAGAAACUCUGUAGAUUCUUGUGAGAUAAAAGAGCUAAAAUUGCAGACAAAUGAGGAAAGGAAAAGCACUGAUAUGGACAAAUAUAAAAUUAAAAGAAAAGACAGUGUGCUAGAAAUGACAGGCAAAAAACAGGCUGUGCUCCAGGGACCUGCAAGAAGUGACCCUUCUCAGAACUGUUUGCUUGGCUAGCAAUGAUUCUUCAUGAUUCAUGGAAGAGGAGAGUUCUGCCUGCAGUUUAUCACUUGAGUGCCCCUUAAAUUGACUUCAUUGAAUCUAAAUAGGCAAGUUUUAUACCUUUGGUCUGUUCUUCAAACAAUGUUUUGGAAUUAGCAGGGUUUUUUGAAGUCUCAUUCUCUGCAUGAUGAAACUCCAAGAACUAAAGAAAACGUGGAGGAACACAGGCUCUUUUAUACCUGCUGGGGGCACUGCAAUACAAAGAAAACGAGCAAUGAAUACUGGUGAGAUUGUUUUCGGCCAGCUUCUCUGGCAUUUUAUGACAUAAUGACAUUUGUCUGUCAAGUUUGAACUUUUUUCCUCGAAAUAUUUUUUUCCUAAUGUAUUUAUUCUGAACACAUUAAUGAUUCUUUUUUUUUUCUCUAGAAGGCACUUUGAAAGAUUUUAAUUGUGUUCUGAAGGACAUUCUUCAGUAUUCUCACACAUACUCGUACUGAUGAGGAGGACUGAGAUAAUAGCAUUAAGAUGAAAACUAAAAUGCAAAUGAUAAUUUUUGUAGUAUAGAAAAAGAAUUUUCAAAUUAUCUCCUAUCAGCAUUUCAAGUAUCUUUA